GACGAACGCGGCGGCGUGCCUAAUACAUGCAAGUAGAACGCUGAAGGGAGAGCUUGCUCUUCUGGAUGAGUUGCGAACGGGUGAGUAACGCGUAGGUAACCUGCCUGGUAGCGGGGGAUAACUAUUGGAAACGAUAGCUAAUACCGCAUAACAUUGACUAUUGCAUGAUAGUCAAUUAAAAGGUGCAAUUGCACCACUACCAGAUGGACCUGCGUUGUAUUAGCUAGUUGGUGGGGUAACGGCUCACCAAGGCGACGAUACAUAGCCGACCUGAGAGGGUGAUCGGCCACACUGGGACUGAGACACGGCCCAGACUCCUACGGGAGGCAGCAGUAGGGAAUCUUCGGCAAUGGACGGAAGUCUGACCGAGCAACGCCGCGUGAGUGAAGAAGGUUUUCGGAUGUAAAGCUCUGUUGUAAGAGAAGAACGAGUGUGAGAGUGGAAA
rnacentral:rRNA from 1 species